rnacentral:rRNA from 1 species
UACGUAGGGUGCGAGCGUUAAUCGGAAUUACUGGGCGUAAAGCGUGCGCAGGCGGUUAUUUAAGUCAGGUGUGAAAGCCCUGGGCUUAACCUAGGAAUUGCAUUCGAGACUGCGUAGCUAGGGUGCGGAAGAGGGAAGCGGAAUUUCCGGUGUAGCGGUGAAAUGCGUAGAUAUCGGAAGGAACACCAGUGGCGAAAGCGGCUUCCUGGUCCAGCACCGACGUUCAGGCACGAAAGCGUGGGGAGCAAACAGG